rnacentral:lncRNA from 1 species
CCUCUGCCCAACUCCUGCCCAGAUAGAGAACUGAGUAUGAGCCACUUGCUUAGGGCCAGGCUCUCCACCCAUAGGGUGUUGUUAGCAAUCUAAGGAGGGCACAGGCCAGCUGCAUGGAAUGUUGCUGCCUUCCAAAAGUUUUCUCUCAAUUCUCUUAGUGGCAAGAAGCUUUACUCACUUCCUUUGUGCUCAGAAUUAGCUUUUUAUUUUUUAUUCACUCAAAAUGCCAGAGACAUCCCAGAUUGCAUUCAUUAUGGGCUAUCAUGCUUCUUGUCACUUGUUUGUAGGACCUGUUCUGGGUUGACUUUGGCUGCUUUUAGGUGAAGUCAUCUUAGAAAAGUCAAGAGCCACAGAAAAAGAGUAUAAAAAAUGACAAACAUUACAAGCAUUCAUUUUAUACCCACACAAUCUUUAUUUUCCAAUUUCUGCUAGUUGAAAACAACAACAGUGAGAGAGCUCAGAAAAUACAGGAUAUGUAGAAACACAAUUCCCUAUAAACAAAAGCCAAACACAUUCUUAAACCCUUACUCCAAACAAACCGGAUUCUAUGAAAAAGACUUGAAGAGUGCUUUAUGUCUAUAUGGAGCCUACAAAGACAUAAUUACAUGUGGCAAAUGAAUGGAUUACAGUGCUGAGUUGCGUGGCUCACAGAACCUGCUCCUUGAAACCGCUUGAAGGCAGGAUGCCUGAGAAAAAGAGGGAACCACUGGGCCCAACAACUUCAAAACCCUCAGGUGAAAAAGAUGAGCAGGCACAGUGCUAAGGAAUUGAACCCAGAGCCUCGUGCAUGCUAGAUAAGCACUCUACCACUGAGCUACAUACCUGGCCCAUUUGCCUCAAUGUGGCAG